UUUUUCUGUUUUGUCAGUUCUCGUGGCACUGGUCAUCCAAUCUGAUGACGCACAAGGAGAACUGGCUUCGGAUGUAGCCCUCCGCCCCAAAGCUACUCAAAAAUCCCAGCGAAUUCUUGGAUGUGGGCACAUGCACUACCAACAUGGUCACUUCUGCAAGAAGGACACCUGCCCAAACAAGCACCUCGGAAAAUGCGUGAAAGGGGAAUGUGUGUGCCUCCACGCGGUUACAACGAAGACGACCGCAGCUACAACAACCAAGAAAAUGCGGAAGCGUGCACUGAAGAAGAUAUUACUGUGACAGAUGAUUCCGAAAAAAUAGCCGGAUGCCCGCCUUGAAAAACCAUUUCUAAAGCUGCUCCUUCUUGUAUAUUGCUGCAGUCUACUGUUAGCGAUGCUUGCCUGUAAUAAACUC
rnacentral:lncRNA from 1 species